AACGCACGAGACCUGCGGACCUGCGGAAGGAUCAUUAACGAGUUGGAAAACGGAAGUUGAUGCUGGUGCAUAUAUCUUUUUUGUAUGUACAUGUGCUCGCCUCCGCUCUCAUCAUCCACUCAACCCCUGUGCACUUUAUCAGAGUUAGUAGUAGUAGUAGUAAUUGUGGUAGCCAUUUGUUAUAUUCAUUGUUAGAGAGGGAGGAGGGUAAUCCGCCUACCGCUUCUGACAGUCGCAAUA
rnacentral:misc_RNA from 1 species